CUGCUUGCUUAGCAGCACAUAUACUAAAACUGGAACAAUACAGAGAAAAUAAGCAUGACCCUGUGAAAGGAUAACAUGCAAAUUAGUGAAGUGUUCCAUAUUUUU
rnacentral:snRNA from 1 species